GGAUCCAGGUGAAGCAGUUUGUAGAAGAAUUAUGGAGUCUCAGAGGGUGGGAAGACAGAGUAAGUCAGCAGUGUCCUAUGACAGGCAGAGGACAGAUUGCAGCUACCGUGCCUGGAGCAGCAGGUACAGGCAGGCUGGGCCCCAGUGAAGAGAUGGACAAAAGAGAAACUGAGGUCUUCUGCAAGCAAAGAACCGUUAACAAAGCUGGUCAGAGACCCCAGAGAAAGGGGGGCCCUCUCUUGUCACACAGGGAGGGAGGGGGAUGUUACAAUUGGCUAUACUGAGAAAAGCGGGUUGGCAUGCAGCUGUGGCCCAUCACAGCGCUCUCUGACAACAGAAACGUUCAUCUUGUCCCCUCGGAGGAAAUCAAACCUCCCCAACUGCACAAGGACAGACAAGAACAGAAGGCUUGCCAGGGCAGGGGAGGGAGGGGGGCACCAGCUUCAGCCGCUUGGGGCUUAUGGACGUUCCUAGGGCUCAGGUGCAGAGAUCACAGCAGAGGAGAGGGCAGUGUCCUUGGAAUCAGCAGGACCUGACUUCAAAACUCUCACUCCUGGCGUGACCCGAGAAGAUGAGUGGGGUAGACUUGAAUGUGCCUGCUGGCCCUCCACCUCUGAUUAACUGAAGGGAUGGAGAUGUGGAGCUCGAAGAAGAGAAGGCUCGUGGAAAAGGAAGGCAGGAAGGGGUCCUAUCAGAUCCUCACAACGACCCUGUGAGAACUUGGGCCCUUUUGGGAGCCAGACACAGAGCCCAGCUGGAACCAUCUGGUCACGUGGGGAAGGAUGGGCCAAUAGGCGAGCGACUUCGGCCCCGCCUCGCGGGAUCUUCCUGGGCGUCAACACUUUCCCGCCUACCCUGGGACCCAGCUCAGGACCAUGGGCAUCAGCCUGUUCUUCCUGCUCUGCCAUGGGUUCUCUCUCACAGAGCUGUGCCAGGUCUGGGAGGGCAUCCUAGGUCUACAGGCGCUCCCACCCCCCAGGAUUUUCUUGGAGCCCACGUUUCCGGUAAAGCUCGGGGACUUGGUGAAGUACGAGUGUGUGGGGGCCUACGGCUCAUUGCAGUGCCUCCUACUCCGAGUGGAUCGUCCAGGAAUGAGUCCUAGGGUGGUGUUCCGAGAGGAUGCCAUUUGGGAAGGAAGGGUAGGCUGGUUCUUCAUGGACAACGUCGCCGCCCAGCACACGGGGAUCUACACCUGUGUCUAUUACUUCAACGGGUUCUAUUCCAAGAACAGUAAUGAGCUGCCACUGAUCAUAAGAGGGCCCAUCCAGGUCUGCAGAGAGGCCAGAGGACAGCGGAGUGCUUGAGGCUGGGUGGAAGGACCCACAGGUGCCGAGCCUGCAUUGGAAAAGAAGACGCUGGGGAGAUGGGAGCUGUCUGCCUCCAAGGGGAUGGCUUCCCCUUCCUGGAAGGUCCUCGGGCAGAAACGGGGCUCUCCCAUCUGCUGCCACCCCCCAUCAGCCCAGGAAGGGAC
rnacentral:lncRNA from 1 species